GCUAUUCGACAGGCUUAACACAUGCAAGUCGAGGGGCAGCACAGGUAGCAAUACCGGGUGGCGACCGGCGCACGGGUGAGUAACGCGUAUGCAACUUACCUAUCAGAGGGGGAUAACCCGGCGAAAGUCGGACUAAUACCGCAUGAAGCAGGGGCCCGCAUGGGGAUAUUUGCUAAAGAUUCAUCGCUGAUAGAUAGGCAUGCGUUCCAUUAGGCAGUUGGCGGGGUAACGGCCCACCAAACCGACGAUGGAUAGGGGUUCUGAGAGGAAGGUCCCCCACAUUGGUACUGAGACACGGACCAAACUCCUACGGGAGGCAGCAGUGAGGAAUAUUGGUCAAUGGCCGAGAGGCUGAACCAGCCAAGUCGCGUGAGGGAUGAAGGUUCUAUGGAUCGUAAACCUCUUUUAUAAGGGAAUAAAGUGCGGGACGUGUCCCGUUUUGUAUGUACCUUAUGAAUAAGGAUCGGCUAACUCCGUGCCAGCAGCCGCGGUAAUACGGAGGAUCCGAGCGUUAUCCGGAUUUAUUGGGUUUAAAGGGUGCGUAGGCGGCCUUUUAAGUCAGCGGUGAAAGUCUGUGGCUCAACCAUAGAAUUGCCGUUGAAACUGGGGGGCUUGAGUAUGUUUGAGGCAGGCGGAAUGCGUGGUGUAGCGGUGAAAUGCAUAGAUAUCACGCAGAACCCCGAUUGCGAAGGCAGCCUGCCAAGCCAUUACUGACGCUGAUGCACGAAAGCGUGGGGAUCAAACAGGAUUAGAUACCCUGGUAGUCCACGCAGUAAACGAUGAUCACUAGCUGUUUGCGAUACACUGUAAGCGGCACAGCGAAAGCGUUAAGUGAUCCACCUGGGGAGUACGCCGGCAACGGUGAAACUCAAAGGAAUUGACGGGGGCCCGCACAAGCGGAGGAACAUGUGGUUUAAUUCGAUGAUACGCGAGGAACCUUACCCGGGUUUGAACGCAUUCGGACCGAGGUGGAAACACCUUUUCUAGCAAUAGCCGUUUGCGAGGUGCUGCAUGGUUGUCGUCAGCUCGUGCCGUGAGGUGUCGGCUUAAGUGCCAUAACGAGCGCAACCCUUGCCACUAGUUACUAACAGGUAAAGCUGAGGACUCUGGUGGGACUGCCAGCGUAAGCUGCGAGGAAGGCGGGGAUGACGUCAAAUCAGCACGGCCCUUACAUCCGGGGCGACACACGUGUUACAAUGGCGUGGACAAAGGGAAGCCACCUGGCGACAGGGAGCGAAUCCCCAAACCACGUCUCAGUUCGGAUCGGAGUCUGCAACCCGACUCCGUGAAGCUGGAUUCGCUAGUAAUCGCGCAUCAGCCAUGGCGCGGUGAAUACGUUCCCGGGCCUUGUACACACCGCCCGUCAAGCCAUGGGAGCCGGGGGUACCUGAAGUCCGUAACCGCGAGGAUCGGCCUAGGGUAAAACUGGUGACUGGG
rnacentral:rRNA from 1 species